CAUUCUGAUGCUGGUUCCACUGUGGCGGCUCUCCUAUUCCAGACGGCUGUGCCCAAGAAUGCCAGUUGGCUUUUGAGUGGAUAAUUGUUGCAGUGAGAGAAGUGACAUUGGAAACAACUAUUGUCCAUUUGAAUUACUUAAAACACCACCAUGAAAAGAAAUACCUGUGAUUUGCUUUCUCGGAGCAAAAGUGCCUCUGAGGAAACACUGCAUUCCAGUAAUGAAGAGGAAGACCCUUUCCGAGGAAUGGAACCCUAUCUUGUACGGAGACUUUCUUGCCGCAAUGUUCAGCUUCCCCCUCUUGCCUUCAGACAGUUGGAACAAGCAGACUUGAAAAGUGAAUCAGAGAACAUUCCAAGACCGACCAGCCUUCCCCUGAAGAUUCUACCGCUGAUUGCUAUCACUUCUGCAGACUC